AGGUCCGUAGCUCAGUUGGUAGAGCGGGGGACUCUUAAUCCCCGCGUCCCGAGUUCGAGUCUCGGUGGACCUA
rnacentral:tRNA from 1 species